GCCGCAGGCUCCACUCCUGGUGGUGUCCUUCCGUCAAUUCCUUUAAGUUUCAGCCUUGCGACCAAACUCCCCCCGGAACUCAAAAACUUUGAUUUCUCAUAAGGUGCCAGCGGAGUCCUAAAAGCAACAUCAAAAACAUUGAUUUCUCAUAAGGUGCCAGCGGAGUCCUAAAAGCAACAUCUGCUGAUCCCGGGUCGGCAUCGUUUAUGGUUGAGACUAGGACAGUAUCUGAUCGUCUUCGAGCCCCCAACUUUCGUUCUUGAUUAAUGAAAACAUCCUUGGCAAAUGCUUUCGCAGUUGUUCGUCUUUCAUAAACCCAAGAAUUUCACCUCUGACUAUGAAAUACGAAUGCCCCU
rnacentral:lncRNA from 1 species